rnacentral:rRNA from 1 species
AGAGUUUGAUCAUGGCUCAGAACGAACGCUGGCGGCAUGCCUAACACAUGCAAGUCGGACGCUUUCGGGGGUUUCGGCCUCCGAGGGAGUGGCGGACGGGUGAGUAGCGCGUGGGAACCUGCCCCUUUGUGGGGGAUAACCGAGGGAAACUUCGGCUAAUACCGCAUGCGCCCGGGGGUAACUCCGGGGAAAGAUUUAUCGCAGAGGGAGGGGCCCGCGUCGGAUUAGGUAGUUGGUGGGGUAACGGCCUACCAAGCCUUUGAUCCGUAGCUGGUCUGAGAGGAUGAUCAGCCACACUGGGACUGAGACACGGCCCAGACUCCUACGGGAGGCAGCAGUGGGGAAUAUUGGACAAUGGGCGCAAGCCUGAUCCAGCAAUGCCGCGUGAGUGAUGAAGGCCUUAGGGUUGUAAAGCUCUUUCGGCGGGGACGAUGAUGACGGUACCCGCAGAAGAAGCCCCGGCUAACUUCGUGCCAGCAGCCGCGGUAAUACGAAGGGGGCGAGCGUUGUUCGGAUUUACUGGGCGUAAAGGGCGCGUAGGCGGCGGUCCAAGUCGAGUGUGAAAGCCCCGGGCUCAACCUGGGAGGUGCGCUCGAGACUGGUCCGCUGGAGUUCGGGAGAGGAGAGUGGAAUUCCCAGUGUAGAGGUGAAAUUCGUAGAUAUUGGGAAGAACACCGGUGGCGAAGGCGGCUCUCUGGACCGAGACUGACGCUGAGGCGCGAAAGCGUGGGGAGCAAACAGGAUUAGAUACCCUAGUAGUCC